rnacentral:rRNA from 1 species
GGGCGAAAGCCUGACACAGCGACGCCGCGUGAGGGAAGAAGGCCUUCGGAUUGUAAACCUCUUUCAGGAGGGACGAAGCUACUCGGGUUAAUAGCCCAGAGGGUGACGGUACCUCCAGAAGAGGCCCCGGCUAACUACGUGCCAGCAGCCGCGGUAAUACGGUAGGGGGCAAGCGUUGUCCGGAUUUAGUUGGGCGUAAAGAGCGUGUAGGCGGCCAGGUAGGUCAGCUGUAGAAAACUCGAGGCUCAACCUCGAGACGUCGGUUGAAACCAUCUGGCUAGAGUCCGGAAGAGGAGAGUGGAAUUCCCGGUGUAGCGGUGAAAUGCGCAGAUAUCGGGAAGAACACCCGUGGCGAAGGCGGCUCUCUGGGACGGUACUGACGCUGAGACGCGAAAGCGGUGGGGAGCGAACAGGAUUAGAUACCCUGGUAGUCCACGCCGUAAACGAGUGGGUGCUAGGUGGUGGGGGGUGUCGACUCCCCCCGUGCCGAAGCUAACGCAUUAAGCACCCCGCCUGGGGAGUACGGCCGCAAGGCUA